AGUGAACGCUGGCGGUAGGCCUAACACAUGCAAGUCGAACGGCAGCACAGUAAGAGCUUGCUCUUACGGGUGGCGAGUGGCGGACGGGUGAGGAAUACAUCGGAUUCUACUUUUUCGUGGGGGAUAACGUAGGGAAACUUACGCUAAUACCGCAUACGACCUACGGGUGAAAGCAGGGGAUCUUCGGACCUUGCGCGAUUGAAUGAGCCGAUGUCGGAUUAGCUAGUUGGCGGGGUAAAGGCCCACCAAGGCGACGAUCCGUAGCAGGUCUGAGAGGAUGAUCAGCCACACUGGAACUGAGACACGGUCCAGACUCCUACGGGAGGCAGCAGUGGGGAAUAUUGGACAAUGGGCGCAAGCCUGAUCCAGCCAUACCGCGUGGGUGAAGAAGGCCUUCGGGUUGUAAAGCCCUUUUGUUGGGAAAGAAAAGCAGCAGGUUAAUACCCCGCUGUUCUGACGGUACCCAAAGAAUAAGCACCGGCUAACUUCGUG
rnacentral:rRNA from 1 species